CAAAAAUUUAACAACGGAGAACAUGAAUGGGCAUAAUUAUUAUCUAUAUAUUAUAAUAUUUAUAGCCAUUUCUAUAAAGCCAUGCUACAUUUAGUGCGAAAAAUACCUUUUACAGUGAGUUACAGAAAAAUCUGAAUUACAGAAAAUUAUAUACAAUAGAUAUACAAGCAAGUAAAGGAAUGCAGAGGAUAAUCGAAGGCCAUUAAAUAUAGGGAAAUUUCGGUUUUUUAAGUCCAAUUACCUAUUUUUAUGGACUUGCUUUAUUUUACAUCGAAGGGUUCACUUCACUCGGUCUCUAACUUAUUUAUAGCUUAUAUGUAUGUUUGAUUUACCCCAAUUUUUAAUAUCUUAUUAUUCAAAAAAAAAGAAAGCGGCCUAAAAAUAGUGGAGCUGUUAUUAAAGUCUGUGCUGCUUAGACUGGUCUGACAUCACCGCACUGAAUUAGUACGCACGGAUGGACAGCUUUAUAUUACUGGAGCAUCCUCGUCACUUUUUUUCCAAGCUGCACAAGGGUAAAUAAAUCUUGUACGAUGUACCAACCAUAUUUGAGGUGAAAUAUGUGAUUUAAUAAAUAUGAAAAUAUGAAAAAAAAAAUAGUAAUAAAAAAGUAAUUAAUUAUUAGCCAGCAGUGUUGUAUGUGGACUACAGUGAUUUAAACCCAACGUACUCACCUCAGUAAUCUUGUGUUUAGCGAAUCCAAUCAAUACACCGAAGAAUUCUCGUCAUUUACUAACAAACGUCACCACAUGGCAACGACACCUCAGAUAUAAUUAGGCCCUCGUACGGCUCGACUGCGCAUACCGGAAAUUCAAAAUGCCAAGCAGGAGCCAGUAUUUCUUUGAAGGAUUCGAGCAGGGCCGACUUUGUGGAUGGAGGUGGCCGUAAUUCGACUGUAAAGACUGGCUCGGGAGCGCGUACGCAUCACCCUCAAGGACCGUGAGCGUGGACUACAGGGGUAUUCUGUCAGAUGCUGUUCGAAAACUUGUAACAUGGCCAUGAAAGAUCACUGCACAUAACGUCUUGAUAUUGAACUAAGAAUGUAAAUAUUUAUUUUGUCGUAUCAAUAAAGCUAUGAAAUAAAAACCGCCCUGGCUUACAAUCAGUUCUAUAAUUUUUACAACUGAUUUGUGACCUCAGCUGCUAUUGCGUCUUCAAAUCUACAAAGCUUUGAUAUGUCAGCAAAUUCGCUGCAGUCAAACAUUUGACUAUAUGGAGAAAAAAUACGAAAAAAGGAUUUUAUUAUAUGAAUGAAAGCAACCAACGAACACAUUCGCUAAAAUGAAAAGGCAAUAAACAGGUUUAUAUCUUAUAAAGCCGUACAGAUCACAUUAACAUGCACUAUUUUUCAUAUCUGAUAUUGCUGUCUGUAAUAGAAUAUAACGUAGUACAUAUUUGCGAACUACAGGAAAGCCCCAACAAGGUAUUUGCGAAAAAUGUGUUUUUAUAGCGUUAAAUAAUUUUUUGAAUUUAUUAAGAAUCACACAUAUUUUUAAUAUGGUUAAUUUACUGGCUCAUAAAAACUACAAGGUUUCGUUUAUCAUAAACCAAACAUCAUUAGCAUAAAGCAAAAAAAUCAUACCCUACUCUAUCAAAACAAUAAGUUCAGGUAGCUGCUAUAUGUUACAAUAAUGUAUGUUCAAAUCGGAACGAGCGCAUAGGCGUGUUACGCACUAAGGGGUAAACGCAUUAAAACAUUCAGAGAAACGCGACUCAUGACAGAGAGAACGCAAGUUAAGAGAAAAGUGUUAACAGAUACUGCAAAGGAUUGUAGGAAACUAAAGAAGAGCUGAGAUUCUCAUAUGCCCGUCAAUUAUUUACUCACGUAAUAAAAAAGUAACCUUCGUUGACGGGUGUGUUUUCAUAUUAAUUGUCGCCAACUAGCUUCUAGGUAAUAAUAAACAUAUCGUUGAAAGUGUUUUUCUUCUCAAGAUCAAUUUAUUACCUACAAGAUUCACAACUGCUGUAACAUAUUUUAAAACAAGGCCAUUGGGUCCUAAUAUCCUACAUUAACCUUUUUGUAUAUGUUAUCGACACCUAUUCUUUAUUUUUAACAUAAAACUAUUUCUUACUACAGCUGUUUUACAAAUUGACUUAUUGUUAAAGUGUUCAUCAUAAACGUUUUAUAAAUUGUUUAACUAAUACAAACGCAAAACUUUUCAACAAACACAUUAUUUUAAAACGUGAGAUAGAAACGCAGACUCACAAUAAUUUAGAACUGGAGACGCGUUAACUUUAAAAGCAGCAUAUUGCCAACGUAUCGAACUAACGCGUAAAAAAUGAUGAAUGCAAUGUAAUGUAAAAAUAAGAAAUAAACGUUUUGAAAACCAGCUAUUAUCUACAGGAAACUUCGCAAGAAAUGUAAAUUUAAAUGAACUAAAACAGUUUCGGAUGUAUCUAAACGUGAGUGCCACUUUGUCCUUGGGUCCUUAGAAAAUUAGCAGUAGUAAUUGGUGUUAAUCUUUUAGCAUUUUGCGAAUAGUUUAAUUGAAAAGAUAUAUAUUUCUUGACAAAUAAAGCAGAUUUUUGAAGCUUUUUUAAGCUUGCUGCUUUUUGCUUUUUAAUACACCUCUAACUGACGAGCGUCACUCGCAUGUAGCGUCGUGCAGUAUCUUCACCAGGUUUUGUGUUUUUCAGACGGGCGACUUCUCAA
rnacentral:lncRNA from 1 species